rnacentral:lncRNA from 1 species
UGAAGUUUCCAAAGAACCCUAGAGGAUUUUAUUUCAUUUUCCUCCACUUUUCUCACCAACCAAAUAAAAGUCAAAUCACCAACCAAAUAAAAGUCAAAAAUCAAAAUACAAAGUUUACGGGUAAUUUACUAAUAAAAGUUUUUUUUUAAAUUAUCGAAAUAGGCCCGUUUUUUAAUUAUUUACCGGAAUGGUCUUUUUUUCAGAAAAUCGCGUCCAUGUCAGCGCAAUGUCAGGGUACGCGUCAGGAAAUCGCGUCCACGUCAGCACGAGAUGCAGACGUGGAAGGAAAUCGCGCUCUCAAGGACGCGAUUUCCUUCCACGUCAGCAUCUCGCUCUGACGUGGACGCGAUUUUGGCCCGCGCGUGAACAGUACUCAACGGUCAAAAAAACAAAAUACCAGGCCCAUUUCGAUAAAUUUUAAAAAUAUAGGACUUUUUUAGUAUUUU